AACGCUGGCGGCGUGCUUAAAACAUGCAAGUCGAGCGUUCCGGCAGCCAACUUAAGUUGGGAGCCGGAUAGCGGCGGACGGGUGAGUAAACGCGUGGGCAACNUACCCUUAAGACCGGGAUAACACCUCGAAAGGGGUGCUAAUACUGGAUAAGCUCCUUGUAGGGCAUCCUAUGAGGAGGGAAGGUAGCGGGAGCUACCGCUUAAGGAUGGGCCCGCGUCCCAUCAGCUAGUUGGUAGGGUAACGGCCUACCAAGGCGACGACGGGUAGCCGGCCUGAGAGGGUGGUCGGCCACACUGGGACUGAGACACGGCCCAGACUCCUACGGGAGGCAGCAGUGGGGAAUCUUGCGCAAUGGGCGAAAGCCUGACGCAGCGACGCCGCGUGAGCGAGGAAGGCCUUCGGGUCGUAAAGCUCGAUAGUGUGGGAAGAAGGGAUGACGGUACCACACGAAAGCCCCGGCUAACU
rnacentral:rRNA from 1 species